rnacentral:rRNA from 1 species
GGGGAAUAUUGCACAAUGGGGGAAACCCUGAUGCAGCGACGCCGCGUGGAGGAAGAAGGUCUUCGGAUUGUAAACUCCUGUUGUUGAGGAAGAUAAUGACGGUACUCAACAAGGAAGUGACGGCUAACUACGUGCCAGCAGCCGCGGUAAAACGUAGGUCACAAGCGUUGUCCGGAAUUACUGGGUGUAAAGGGAGCGCAGGCGGGAAGACAAGUUGGAAGUGAAAUCUAUGGGCUCAACCCAUAAACUGCUUUCAAAACUGUUUUUCUUGAGUAGUGCAGAGGUAGGCGGAAUUCCCGGUGUAGCGGUGGAAUGCGUAGAUAUCGGGAGGAACACCAGUGGCGAAGGCGGCCUACUGGGCACCAACUGACGCUGAGGCUCGAAAGUGUGGGUAGCAAACAGGAUUAGAUACCCUGGUAGUCCACACCGUAAACGAUGAUUACUAGGUGUUGGAGGAUUGACCCCUUCAGUGCCGCAGUUAACACAAUAAGUAAUCCACCUGGGGAGUACGACCGCAAGGUUGAAACUCAAAGGAAUUGACGGGGGCCCGCACAAGCAGUGGAGUAUGUGGUUUAAUUCGACGCAACGCGAAGAACCUUACCAAGUCUUGACAUCCCUUGACAGACAUAGAAAUAUGUAUUCUCUUCGGAGCAAGGAGACAGGUGGUGCAUGGUUGUCGUCAGCUCGUGUCGUGAGAUGUUGGGUUAAGUCCCGCAACGAGCGCAACCCUUAUGGUCAGUUACUACGCAAGAGGACUCUGGCCAGACUGCCGUUGACAAAACGGAGGAAGGUGGGGAUGACGUCAAAUCAUCAUGCCCUUUAUGACUUGGGCUACACACGUACUACAAUGGCGUUAAACAAAGAGAAGCAAGACCGCGAGGUGGAGCAAAACUCAGAAACAACGUCCCAGUUCGGACUGCAGGCUGCAACUCGCCUGCACGAAGUCGGAAUUGCUAGUAAUCGUGGAUCAGCAUGCCACGGUGAAUACGUUCCCG